GAGAAAUGAGGCCAAAUUUGCAACUUUUGAAGAGAAGCCAAGAGCACUCCGCCUUCUGGAUGAACAGUUUGAUCUGGUAAGCAGUUUGUUCUCCUUUUUUACCUGUACAAAUACGCAAGGUUAUUAUUUUCCUAGCCUGAUCACAACUUAAAAGAGAGCAAUUACUGCAAAUAAAGCUAGCUAAAGAGACCAUAAUUAUGUUAUAAGAGGGCCUCAGCCCGUGUAAAUGUUCUAAUUGGUAUAAUUUGCCUUUUCUCUGAUAAUGUGGUCCUGGGCCUUCUGGAGGGGUGCUCAUCUUG
rnacentral:lncRNA from 1 species